rnacentral:rRNA from 1 species
AGUGAACGCCGGCGGCAGGCCUAACACAUGCAAGUCGAACGGCAGCACAAGAGAGCUUGCUCUCUGGGUGGCGAGUGGCGGACGGGUGAGGAAUGCAUCGGAAUCUGCCCAUUUGUGGGGGAUAACCUCGGGAAACCGGGACUAAUACCGCAUACGACCUACGGGUGAAAGCAGGGGAUCUUCGGACCUUGCGCAGAUGGAUGAGCCGAUGCCGGAUUAGCUAGUUGGAGGGGUAAAGGCCCACCAAGGCGACGAUCCGUAGCUGGUCUGAGAGGAUGAUCAGCCACACUGGGACUGAGACACGGCCCAGACUCCUACGGGAGGCAGCAGUGGGGAAUAUUGGACAAUGGGCGCAAGCCUGAUCCAGCCAUGCCGCGUGUGUGAAGAAGGCCUUCGGGUUGUAAAGCACUUUUGUUGGGAAAGAAAAGCAGCCGGUUAAUACCCGGUUGUCAUGACGGUACCCAAAGAAUAAGCACCGGCUAACUUCGUG